rnacentral:rRNA from 1 species
UACAUGGGGUGCAAACGUUGCUCGGAAUUAUUGGGCGUAAAGCGCGCGUAGGCGGUUACUCAAGUCGGAUGUGAAAGCCCUCGGCUUAACUGAGGAAGUGCACCCGAAACUGAGUAGCUAGAGUACCAAAGAGGGUCGCGGAAUUCCCGGUGUAGAGGUGAAAUUCGUAGAUAUCGGGAGGAACACCGGUGGCGAAGGCGGCAUCCUGGACCGGCAUUGACGCUGAGGCGCGAAAGCUAGGGGAGCAAACGGG